UACGAAGGGGGCUAGCGUUGUUCGGAAUUACUGGGCGUAAAGCGCACGUAGGCGGACAUUUAAGUCAGGGGUGAAAUCCCGAGGCUCAACCUCGGAACUGCCCUUGAUACUGGGUGUCUUGAGUAUGGUAGAGGUUGGUGGAACUGCGAGUGUAGAGGUGAAAUUCGUAGAUAUUCGCAAGAACACCAGUGGCGAAGGCGGCCAACUGGACCAUCACUGACGCUGAGGUGCGAAAGCGUGGGGGAGCAAACAGG
rnacentral:rRNA from 1 species